rnacentral:tRNA from 1 species
ACUAUUUUGGCAGAAAAAUGUAAUGAUUUUAGAAGUCAUAAAUAUAUAGUUAGAUUAUAUAGAUAGUA